rnacentral:lncRNA from 1 species
GCCACUUUAACACACAAAGAUACAGAUCAAUAAACUUCAAACGCCCUAUAUUACCUUACUUGCUAAACAAAAUCUCAGAGAUCGAACUCAAUUCAAAUGGUUCAAAAAUCAGGAAGGAAUAACUUUUUACAACUCACAAACUCAACUGACUCAGCGGCUUUAACACACAAAGUUACGAAUCAGUAAACUUCAAACAACCUACAUUACCUUAUUUUCUAAACAAAAAUCCUCCAUAAUGAAUGAGGAUUGUUUUCCAGACGAUACAGAAAAAUCAGUCCAAAAAUACAAAAAAAAAAUGGAAAGGAAGAAGGACAAAGGAAACAAUUUGGAUUUGAUAAGAAGAAGAAUCCAGUAAGAAAUGAACAGCUAGCUAGCUCUCUGGCUAAGGCUACAAUCACGUGAUCACUCUCUGCACAUCCAAACCGUCCAACCGAAUUCCUUUGUCAUUUUCCCAUUCAUUCCUUCUUCAACCCCUUAUUAUCUUGGAUGCACAGCAGACCCAGAAAGUUAGCAGAGAGAGUUUCAGAUGGAUCCACCAGCAGAACAAUCCAUAGAGAGGAAUUUGGAGGCUGGAGAUGACAGCCAAGACCAAGCUAUCAACGAAUGGUAAGUAUUGAUCAUCAGUUCUGUCUCUUCUCUUCUCUUGUUUGUUUAUUAAUUGAUUGAUGGGUUUUCUUCUUCUUUUUCUUCUUUGUUUUCUGGGCACAGCUGUUCUUGCUGCUAUGAAUGCUUUCAGGUCUGCCUGGAUUUCAUCUGCUGUGGCUCAGACUAAUUGGCUCUUCUGUCGUCAUUCCCAGUUACAUCAGAUGUAGAAUGAUUGGUCUCUGGUUUUUUUUAUCAUGGGAAUGGAUAGUUUUGUUUGUGUAGUUGGUGGUAGAAAGAAAAAGUUAGGAUCUUUAGUAGCUAAUUCCCCAAACGUGGAACACAUGUUUGGGAUGAUCAAAAGUGAGCGAUUUUAACGUGACAAUCUGAUGAACUGCCAACUUCGAGUGAUUGAUGAUUCCAUGAUUGAUGUGUAGUCGAAUAAACAACAGUGAAAUUGACGUGUAACUAGCCAUCAAAUUAAUCCAACUCGUAAGUGGAGUCUGCCCGACUUUCAAUAACUAGUUAGAGUUGUCUGUAAUUAAUUACACGACUUAAUAACUAGUUUAAAAUUCGAAUUUUAAAAGGCA